GGAUGUAGCUCAGUGGUAGAGCAUCUGCCUGGCAUGCAGAAGGUCACAGGUUCAGUCCCCAGCGUGUCUG
rnacentral:tRNA from 1 species